rnacentral:rRNA from 1 species
UGUCUCAAAGAUUAAGCCAUGCAUGUCUAAGCAUAAACUGAACUAAAGUAAAGCCGCGAAUAGCUCAUUACAACAGCCGUUGUUUCUUGGAUCUCCGCAAUACUUGGAUAACUGAGGUAAUUCUUGAGCUAAUACACGCAAUCGAGCUCUGACCUUUGGGACGAGUGCAUUUAUUAGAACAAAACCAAUCGGUGCUUGCACUGUGGUUUGGUGAAUCUGAAUAACUGAGCAGAUCGCUUCGGUCUCGUACCGGCGAUGUAUCCUUCAAGUGUCUGCCUUAUCAACUUUCGAUGGUAGUUUAUGUGCCUACCAUGGUUGUAACGGGUAACGGAGAAUUAGGGUUCGAUUCCGGAGAGGGAGCCUGAGAAACGGCUACCACUUCCAAGGAAGGCAGCAGGCGCGCAAAUUACCCACUCUCGGCACGAGGAGGUAGUGACGAAAAAUAACGAGACGAUUCUCUUUUGAGUAUCGUCAUCGGAAUGAGAACAAUCCAAAUCCUUUAACGAGGACCUAGCGGAGGGCAAGUCUGGUGCCAGCAGCCGCGGUAAUUCCAGCUCCGCCAGUGUAUAUCUAUGCUGCUGCGGUUAAAAAGCUCGUAGUUGGAUCUGCGUGCCACGGUCGGGUCCGUCUGUUAGACGUGCACUCGCGCCGGGCACUGAAACGUUGGUUUUCUCUUGGUGGCCUUCACCGGUUGCCCUGAGUGACUAACAUGUUUACUUUGAAAAAAUUAGAGUGCUUAAAACAAGCGUUUUGCUUGAAUAUUCGUGCAUGGAAUAAUAGAAUAGGACCUCGGUUCUAUUUUGUUGGUUUUCGGAACACGAGGUAAUGAUUAAGAGGGACAGACGGGGGCAUUCGUAUUGCGACGUUAGAGGUGAAAUUCUUGGAUCGUCGCAAGACGGCCUACUGCGAAAGCAUUUGCCAAGAAUGUUUUCAUUAAUCAAGAACGAAAGUUAGAGGUUCGAAGGCGAUCAGAUACCGCCCUAGUUCUAACCGUAAACGAUGCCAACUAGCGAUCAACGGGUGUUACUUAAGACCCUGUUGGGAGCUUCCCGGAAACGAAAGUUUUCAGGUUCCGGGGGAAGUAUGGUUGCAAAGCUGAAACUUAAAGGAAUUGACGGAAGGGCACCACCAGGAGUGGAGCCUGCGGCUUAAUUUGACUCAACACGGGAAAACUCACCCGGCCCGACACCGUAAGGAUUGACAGAUUGAGAGCUCUUUCUUGAUUCGGUGGGUGGUGGUGCAUGGCCGUUCUUAGUUGGUGGAUUGAUUUGUCUGGUUUAUUCCGAUAACGAACGAGACUCCAACCUACUAACUAGUGGGCAGAUCUUCAUGUCUGCAACACUUCUUAGAGGGACAAGUGGUGUUUAGCCACAUGAGAAGGAGCAAUAACAGGUCUGUGAUGCCC